rnacentral:tRNA from 1 species
GGAAUGUUAGCACAAUUGGUAGUGCAGUGGCCCGCAAUAAGCCAAAGGUCGAAGGUUCGAGCCCUUCACAUUCCU